GAAUAUACUUCUUAGAAGAGAAAUGGGGGAUUUCUGUUGCUUUUUGAGGGCUGCUCCCUGUUUAGAUUUACUUUCCCCCAAUAUUAGCAAGCGCCUGCUCUCCUCGCCCACCGCUGAGCCACCUCCCGAGCUCCUCCCAGGAGCCAUCCACCCGCGGCGCCCCACGGUUACCUCCACCUCUGCCGGAGACGCAGAUAAACAGGCACAGGGAGGCGAGGAGCGGGGCCCCGCAAGCCCUGCAGCGCCGCGGGACAGCCACGAGCCCGUCACCCCCCUGGAUGCAGACACGGAGCCUCCCUGGGGGCACCAGGAGCCACUGCAUGGUCGGGCAACAACCCCCUCAUGCCUGGGGCCAUCUCUGGGAGCAGCUGAAGGCCACCCUGCAAACCCUGCCAGACCCAGGUGAAGAAGAUGCUGCAGGAGCUGAUGAAGGAGCAGAAGCAGGAAGGAAGAGUCUGGCGAUGCUGGAGGGCUGCAAAGGGCCCCAGAGGCAGAGCGGGCAGCGGGACUGGGACGGUGGCAGAAGAGAUGCCUCCUCGGGUCGGCAGCGCAGCGAUGGCGGGUGAUGGGGCAUCUUCUCAGGGCUGCCCAGGGGAAAUGACCCCAGGGCUUGGAGCAGGACCCAGCCUGGGCUUGCCAGCACUGGGGAGCCCCUCAGCAGGAUACCCCCCCCGCCCCCGGUUCGUGGGGGUCGUGGGGAGGCCGUCAGGACAGCCAGAGACAUCCCAGCCCCUACGAAACCCUGGGUGGAGGAGCUGGGCUGAGGCCUCCGGGCUGGGCGCAAGGAGGGCUGCAGCAGGCAGGGUGAUGGCCCCCCCCAAGCUGUCGGGGUCCUGGAGGAGACACCCCACGGCUGCCUGGAUGCUGAAGAACUCUCUGCCUUGCCACAGGCCUCCCUGCUUGGUGCGGAGGCUGCCAGACCUCUCCUGCCAUGGGCAGAGCUGGCCCCCCAGCCCCGGCCGUGGGGAGCCUGGGUGACUGCCCGGCUUGCGGGAGGUGUGUGGGGCCGGUGUCCCCCGUUGUCCCCCAGCAGAGAACGCCCUGUGAGUGCCAUGUCCGCCUCAGCACCAGCCUGGCCAAGCACCCAGGGACCACUGAGGGUUCCCAGCCCCAGGGCUCCUGCGUGGCUUGCGGACGGCACGGCAGCCGCUGGGGCUGCCUGGCCGAGAUGCCCACAGGCUCGCAAGCAGCCGGUGGCUGUGGUUUCCCCUCUGCCUGCUGGGAGCUGCCGGUACUGCCUGUGUGCCGAGCGCGGCAAAGGCUUCACGCAGCGCCCAGCCCUGAGCAGGCGCCGGCGCAUCACUCGAGCGAGCGGCCGCACCAGCGCGGGGACUGUGGCCGGCGGUUCCUGCAACGCUCCGACCUCACCGUGCACCAGCGCCGGCACACGGGCGAGCAGCCCUACGACGGCCCCGAGUGCAGGUGCCACUUCAGCGACAGCUCCAACCUGGCCAAGCAUCGCUGAGCCUGCCUGGGCCAACGUCCCUUCCCCUGCGCCAGCUGCGGCAAAGCCUUCAUCCAGCGCUCCGAGCUAGCCAUCCACCAGCGCCUGCACACCGGCCAGCGGCUCUUCUACUGCCCGCUCUGCACCAAGGGCUUCAGCCACCGCUCACACCUCACCCGCCACCAGCCACGGACCUCGGCACCCCUCCGUCCCCCACCCUGACUGGGGGCAUGGCCCGGAGCUGGGUGGCACGGCCCUGGACCUGUCGUGGUCCCCGUACCCCCCUGCCUCAGGUGGUCCCCCAGUCCUUGCAGCCGAGUGCCACCACUCUGCCCCGGGGGCUUUCUCUGCUUCUACCUGGUCAGGUAGAGCCCACCUAAGGUGGGACAAGGUUUGCUGCCCCUCUGGGGCUCAGCUUGGCCUCUCUCUUUUCCUUUCCCCCCAGCUCCGGCUACAAGACCCUCAGCUGCAGCUGACCCACUCUCUUUUCUAGCUCCUUGCAUCCUUUUUCUCUCCUUCCCCCUCCCUUUGCUGCUCCAUUUCUAUCCCAGAAUAGUCAUCUUGUGGCCACUGAUGCUCUUGACUAGGCAGAUGCAUCCCCCCCUUCUCUCUUUGUCACCACCGCUUUUUAGUUGGGCAGGACACCAGCGCUCAGCGCCGUCCCCCAGUGACCUGCCCCAGCCAGCCCUGGGGCAGCAGGAUGCCUGCCUGGGCCCAGUUCAACCAGUCUGGCUGCCAGUGUGGGGACCAGGUCAAGAGCAAAGCUCUGCCUGCCUUCUACCAGCAAGCUGCUUGCAGGAAAUAUGUGGUGCUGUGGGGGGGUUCCCAUCCCCACCCAUGCGUGCUGGGUGCCAGACAGGGGCCGGACCAUGGAGCACCCCUGCAUCUUGCCGUCAGAGCUCAUGUUUUUUGAGCUCAUAUUUUUUGGGGGAUGUGCUGUGAUGGGGAAGGUGAUGCCUACGCCAUCCCACAGGUAGGGAUGCAAAGGAGACUUUUUUAUCUUCUGGCAUUCAAUUAGAAGUAAUAAAGUAGAAGUUUUGCAGCUCUUCAGCUGAAGUCACAAGUGAAAAUGGGCACCCCAAGGGGGAUGGGGUCUUCCUGCAGCUCCCAGCCCCACUCGGAUGUGGGGGACCCCAUGGCUGAUUACAGGGUGGCCUAAAAAUCCUGCAGCCCUCAGUGACGGGGGGCUGCAUCCAUGGGAGAUCAAAC